GAUGAACGCUAGCGGCAGGCUUAACACAUGCAAGUCGAGGGGUAUAGUUCUUCGGAGCUAGAGACCGGCGCACGGGUGCGUAACGCGUAUGCAAUCUACCUUUUGCAGAGGGAUAGCCCAGAGAAAUUUGGAUUAAUACCUCAUGGUAUGUGAGAAUGGCAUCAUUUUCACAUUAAAGUCACAACGGCAAAAGAUGAGCAUGCGUCCCAUUAGCUAGUUGGUAAGGUAACGGCUUACCAAGGCAACGAUGGGUAGGGGUCCUGAGAGGGAGAGCCCCCACACUGGUACUGAGACACGGACCAGACUCCCACGGGAGGCAGCAGUGAGGAAUAUUGGACAAUGGGCGCAAGCCUGAUCCAGCCAUGCCGCGUGCAGGAUGACGGUCCUAUGGAUUGUAAACUGCUUUUGUACAGGAAGAAACACUGGUUCGUGAACCAGCUUGACGGUACUGUAAGAAUAAGGAUCGGCUAACUCCGUGCCAGCCGCCGCGGUAAGAC
rnacentral:rRNA from 1 species